UUCCAUGUCACAAAUGUGAAUUAAGUUACUGUAGCUUUUUACCUCGAAAAACACAUGAAAAAUAUGGUGUAGAAGAGUCCCAAAAGUUACCAAGUCUUCCUCUCCACAUAAGCCAGCCGUGCAAGCAAAGGAGCCGCACACACACGUGCCCGACAGGGGCUGAACCCUAGGCGUGCGACCUGUGCGCUUCACAGCUUAGUAGCCCACCCAAUAUGUCCAUUGGCUUGGGUAACCGCUAUUGUUGGGCCGCUGGGCUAUUCAGUCAGCCUGACCUUGGGUUUCAUGAUAGGCCCUUCAAAUUCUUCUCCUCGGGCGUGCGGCAUAGGUUGCACACUACCACGCGUGCUGGGCUGGUGCGCACGACCUGCUAGCCAGCAAGUUGUAGACCAAGUGUGGAUUUGGUAGCCCGUAUGCAGGAAUUUUUCCCACACACACAUUACCGGGUGAAACACGUGUAUGGCUUGUUGGCCUCCCUCUUAUUCGACAUAGACUGCACACUACCACACGUGCUGAGCUGGUGCGCACGACCUACUAGCCAGCAAGUUGUAGACCAAGUGCAGAUCUGAUAGCCCGUCUACAGGAAUUUUUCCCACGCACACAUUCCCGAGUGAAACACGUGUAUGGCUUGUUGGCCUCCCUCUUAUUCGAUUUUUCUUGUAUGCACAUUGACUUCGAGUUGAGGCUCUGUAUAUUUAUUUGGCCAUGGGC
rnacentral:lncRNA from 1 species